rnacentral:rRNA from 1 species
GACGUAGGGUGCGAGCGUUGUCCGGAUUUAUUGGGCGUAAAGAGCUCGUAGGUGGUUUGUCGCGUUGUCCGUGAAAACUCACAGCUCAACUGUGGGCGUGCGGGCGAUACGGGCAGACUGGAGUACUGCAGGGGAGACUGGAAUUCCUGGUGUAGCGGUGAAAUGCGCAGAUAUCAGGAGGAACACCGGUGGCGAAGGCGGGUCUCUGGGCCGAUACUGACGCUGAGGAGCGAAAGCGUGGGGAGCGAACAGG